rnacentral:rRNA from 1 species
GUAGGGUCCAAGCGUUAAUCGGAAUUACUGGGCGUAAAGCGUGCGCAGGCGGUUGUGCAAGACCGAUGUGAAAUCCCCGAGCUUAACUUGGGAAUUGCAUUGGUGACUGCACGGCUAGAGUGUGUCAGAGGGGGGUAGAAUUCCACGUGUAGCAGUGAAAUGCGUAGAGAUGUGGAGGAAUACCGAUGGCGAAGGCAGCCCCCUGGGAUAACACUGACGCUCAUGCACGAAAGCGUGGGGAGCAAACAGGAUUAGAUACCCUGGUAGUCCACGCCCCUAAACGAUGUCAACUAGUUGUUGGGGAUUCAUUUCCUUAGUAACGUAGCUAACGCGUGAAGUUGACCGCCUGGGAGUACGGUCGCAAGAUUA